rnacentral:lncRNA from 10 species
GAGAAGCCAGCCCUGCAGAAACAGCCUGCUAUGGGGUUCAUACACCAAGGCAGUAUCUUGCCUUAGAUGACCACCUGCAAUCCAGGAUGAGACUUUGGCUUGAUCAAUUGCACUAAAUCCACCCACACUCAUUCUCAGUUCCCUCUUUCAAGAGGGAAAAGAAAAGGCACUGACACUGUAAGAUGAUGAAAGUAGAAAGUGAACAGGCAACCCUGUUGGAUGAGCCAUUGGUGAAAUCAUGUGGUCCUCAGCAUUGAAUAAGGCCGCAUGAGGCCAGGACCACUGUGACACAGAGUGCCAGGCAGGGGGACUGUGCACCAGCCCCUGCCUGCCCGGAGUCUCCCAGACUCAGCCAGUCCAGCCUCCACGGAGGCUGCAGAUGCUUAGCUUAUCUUCUGAGCAGUCCUGGUCUCCACUCAUUCAUUCAUUCAUUCAUUCAUGCACCCGUUCUUUAGUGAGUAGUGGUAUAUGUCUCAUAUUUUGCUAGUCAUUGCAGAAAACACAAUUUGUAUGAAAAAACUCUUCCUAGAAGCUGAACAUUUGUCACUAGUACUUCCAGUAACAUGGUGAGAUCAGCUGACAUGGAUGUCCCACCACAAACAAACAAACUAGUAAACAUGGUUUUUACUACACAGCCAAGGACUAAGGAGAAAGAAAUGCCAGAUGCUAGAAAUAAAGGGAAAAAUCAAAGACACCGUGGUAGGUGGUUUCAGAUCCUCACAGAGCUUCAAAGGAUUGAGGGUUGGACCUCUUGCCUAUGGAGCGGAUGGAGCCGUGCCCUUGCCCUUGGAUGUCAGGGAACUGAAACAGCCCAGCCUAAAGACCAGGGCUUGUAGGCAUUGCCUUCUGUAAAAGGGACUAUAAAACUCCACCCACUGGUCCAGGAACUUGCGUGUGCAACUUGUCCUCUCUCCAGGAUCUUGGACAGAGAGAUGGGGUAUAGGGCAUAGUAAAUGAUGUGCAGGAUAGGAAAACCCUAGACCUGCAUCACACAAAGGGUGUAUGGUACAAACUUUUAUACUCUAUCUUGUACCAGAAACCUCAAAUAAAGAGCAUAAAUACUGGCCUAGGAUAAUAGAAAUCUUUCAGGCUCUAGCAGGAACAAACAUAAAGUCCUUACCUACACAAAGCCCUAACUCUUCCACUAACCAGCCACACCAGAUGCCUGGGGGCAAGGAGGAGGACUCUUAAGUACGGUUGCACUUACACUCAAAUAGAAAAUAAAAUACAGACAAACCACAGAGGGAAACAUGCCGCUGCGCAGGAAAGAUAGCACUCACAAAACUAGAAAUAACAAAACUGCAGGAGAAAUGCAUCAGACAGACCCGAACCGAGGGACAAAAUACCUGACCAGCCCUCCUCAAAACUGCCAAGAUGGUCCCAAAACAAGGGAAGUCUAAGAAACAGUCCAGAGAAGACGAAGGAGACUAAAUGCGAGGCGCUGUUCUGGAUGGGAUCUUUGUACAGGAAAGAGACGUUAGGGAAGAACUAGUGAAAUCUGAAUACACUGAAUAUAGUGUAGUUACUAGUGAAAUCUGAAUAUAGUGUAGUUAAAAGUAAUGCACCAAUAUGGGUUCCUUAGUUGUAACAAAUGUUCCAUCC